GUGCCCACGUUUUUCUCCUUCCCGGAUGCUUAGUAUCCCAUCGUUUCCGAGAGGUCCCUCCGCGCCUCGGGAGGCCCACUGGCCAGGCGCGCCCGGCGCUGCAUCUGUGACAAUCCCGGCUGGGGAUGGAUGCGCGCGGUAGCAGGUCGGCGCUGUAUCUAUAUGGAGCGACCCAGAAAAGCAUUAUCAUAACGUGUCCUCGUUAGUAUAGUGAUAUUUAUCAAGCACCUAUUAGGUGCCAGGCACUGUUCUAGACCUUGAAGGAUACGGAGGUGACCAAGGCACGUGACUUCCCUGCCCUCAGGGGUCUGUCAUUAGCGCUGGGGAGACAGAGAAUGGACAAGGAAAAACAAUACCUACCCUAACAGUAAACGGUAAGGGGCUGGGGUCAGGUUGGGAGGCGUGAUCCGGGAGGGCUUCUCGGAGGCGGUGACCUUGAAGGACAAGAAGGAGUAGAUGCCGGCGAGCCUGGUCGACGUGGGUUCCAGCUGGUUCUGGACUUUCCGCAUCGGAUGUCCAGGGCGGAGGACCCAGGGCCGGCACCACGACCAGGAGGAUCUGAGCGAAGCGGCAUUUCACUAGCAGCCGAAAUAGCUCAGUUGGGAGAGCGUUAGACUGAAGAUCUAAAGGUCCCUGGUUCGAUCCCGGGUUUCGGCAGUCGCUUUAUCUUUUUUUUUUUUUCCCCGCCGCGAAAGGCGGUUGGAAAAAACCGGAACAGGGAGGCUAAUUCUCCGCGAUUAAUAAACAGUUUCGCUUUCUUUAAACCCGGCUCCGAGCGGUAUCCACGGGAAAUGGGAGCGGAGGGAAACUUCCGCGCAAUGUGGAGAAUUCUAACGCGGCUGUGUUUCCCCUGCCUCCAUUUCUCGCCUCUCGGAAACGUUUAUUAAUGUCUGUCACGUGUUUGUUGAUGUCUGCUCGUUAAUUUGGGCUUUCUGUGUAUGAAUUUCUGUUCCCCGAAACCCGCGCAACUAAAUCAAGGACCGAGCAGGGGACAGCUUCCCUAAGAUGGAGUUAAGUCAAGCAGGACUUUUGUUCUUCGGUUUUGAACAGAAAGAAUAAAAGAAAAUAUUGAACCCUUUGAUAUACAGUGAUACACAGGGGAACUUGAAAAUGCUUAAAAGGCGUACCUGAGAGCCCUGAUCAGAGCCGGUCCUCGUUAGUAUAGUGAUUCUCCCACUUUCACGGAAACUCUUUUCUACGAACGGCUAAACCUGACCGGCGUGCGAGAUUCGUUGUAGAUUCUAUCGACUGCCUGGUCAAAAUCAUGCCCCGGGUCCCCAGUGUCCCACAGUUACACGAAAGAAAGAGCCCAAGGUCUCCCACCCCCACCCCACCCCCCUCGCUCAUGCUCCCAGCGCUGCACGAAAGUGCUGGGUUUGCGCCAUGCUGUCCCGGGACAAGAGGGUCAACCUCCAAGGCCAGGAAAUGCUCCUUCUGCUGCAAAUAUUCCAAUCUCUGUGGCUUGCUCCGGACCAGACUGGCCCUCGGAAAAUGUUUAUGGAUUUAAGACAGGAAGUGUGGGGACGCUACCGUGAAACGCUUUCUUGUCUUAACGUGGUUGCAGACUCCUUCCCGGGUGGCUAUCAGCCUUCCCAGGCUCCUCUUCUUCCAUUCGUUUUUUUGUCACAUUCAUUCUGCAGAUAUACACUGAGUACUUAUUAGGGGCCAGGCACUGUUCUAGGCACUGGGGCUAUAGCAGGAACCACGAGGCCCUGGCCCCUGCCCUACUGAGCUUAUGACACCGGUGAUAAACAAAUAGUAUUAAAAAAAAAAAAAAAAGUCUCCCAGAGAGUAAAUGCUGUGAAAGAGAAAAAAAAAAGGGGGGGGGGGGAGGGCACGCCAGGGAGUGUGUGGGAUUCGCAGGCCCCAAUAGUGAGGCAGCCAGGAAGGCCCCUCCGAGGACCUGGACAAGGAGAAGGAGCCACUCACCAGAAGAUCUGGGGAGCACCCUUGCAGGCAGAGGGAAGGGCAGGUGCAAAGGCCCUGAGGUGCAAAGGAGGGCAGCGUGCCUGCAGAACAGCAAGGAGGUAAGUGUGCAUGUAAGAGGGGGAGAGGAGGAAGGGAUAAGGUCACAGGCGAACCUAAGGAGGUUGGAUUCCAUUCCAGGGUUUUGUGCAGAGAGGCAACAUAAUCGGGCUUGUUUUGAGCAGAGCAGUCUGGCAAGAGAGCAAGCAGGGGCACCUGCUAAAAACCCAGCUUGUUCCCAAACUUCGUGCAAAAUAACGCCGCGAACAGUGCCAUCCGUCCAUGCUGGGCCAAGGUCUGUCUGUCUUCGCCAGAGCUCAUAUAAUAAUAACUGCAUUUGCCAUCCUGAGAACCCAGGCUCGGCUGGCCCUUGUACCAGGCGCUGUUCUAAUGGCUCAAUGGCCGCACCCGCCCUGGGGAGGAGGUAGUACUCAGAUCUCCAUUUUAUGAAUGAGCUCCAGACAGGUGGGGAUAUGAAUCACAACUGCCCGGCAGGUGUCCUGGGCACCAGCUCAGGUAGCCCUUUACCUGUGAAGGUUUCAGGCGGGUUGGAAGGGAGCUGACUGGGGACAAAGCGGACAAGGCAGGACAACUGGGGGUGUGUUCUCCCCAUCAGAGUGACUGUUUCCUGCCAGGAAAUCUCAAGCGCUGGUGGAAAGAGGCAGAGACUCAACUUUCUGCCCUCUCCCUGCCCUCAACCAUUCCUCCACCACUGAGCGACCCCUUGGUGACUGGAAGACACCUCGUAUUGCCUCCCUAGGGCAGCUUCAUAAGCACUCUGCACUCUGGAAGAGACGGGUGCCGACAGUGAGAAAUGGUUCUUUUCGGUGGGAUUUUCACAAUAGGCAGGAUCCCCCCUCUCUGAAACCUGUAACACUCCCGAUACGCUUUUGUUGCAAGAGGCUGAGGGCAGCUGCUGGCAGAAAAGCGUAAAGGCAAAAACAUCACCUGAUGACUGAAACAGCCCGAGAAGGAGCAACGGGGGAGGCCACGGUCCUUUUCGUGGCACCGUGACUGCAGUAGAAGUCCCCAAGGACUGGCGACUGAUGCCCCGCCAUCAGAGGGCAAGUGUGGAAGCCAUUCAAAGGUCUGACUGCUGGCCCUUGCCCUUUAUUUGUGCUGUCAGUAACCAACCAGUUUGGGAAUGACCCGAAGGGAAACCAGCAUUCCUGGCAGGCAGGAUUUUGCCUCCCGCUUCAUCAGCAACAGGUCACGAACGAACGAACGAACAAAUGAAUGAAUGAAUGACACUGAUGCACAUACGGUUCAUGUUUAUAUUUAUACACGAUCUGUAUUUUAUCAUUAAAGAUCGAAGAUGCAUUUUAUAGAAA